UACGUAGGGUGCGAGCGUUGUCCGGAAUUAUUGGGCGUAAAGAGCUCGUAGGCGGUUUGUUGCGUCGGCCGUGAAAACCUGCAGCUUAACUGUGGGCCUGCGGCCGAUACGGGCAGACUUGAGUUCGGUAGGGGAGACUGGAAUUCCCGGUGUAGAGGUGAAAUUCGUAGAUAUCGGGAGGAACACCGGUGGCGAAGGCGGCGAUCUGGGUAGAUACUGACGCUGAGGUGCGAAAGCGUGGGGAGCAAACAGG
rnacentral:rRNA from 1 species